UUUUGGUUGGUAAUUUGAAAUGGAGGAGGUCUUAAUGCAAAACCAGAUUAGUCUCAUGGAUAAAGCAGGCAAUGUGGUUUUGGACGUUGAGAGCCUCGCACAACUCUCAGAUAAAUGUUGCUCUGGAAGCCCAAAAAUGACCAGAGUUCUAUCUCGCAAGGGCUCAUGUCGAAUGGAGAGGCGUGGCAUUGAGGAGCAAGAAGCAGAUGAGGCAUCGAAAAA
rnacentral:misc_RNA from 1 species